UACGUAGGUGGCAAGCGUUGUUCGGAAUUAUUGGGCGUAAAGCGCGCGUAGGUGGUUCGUUAAGUUGGAUGUGAAAUCCCCGGGCUCAACCUGGGAACUGCAUUCAAAACUGACGAGCUAGAGUAUGGUAGAGGGUGGUGGAAUUUCCUGUGUAGCGGUGAAAUGCGUAGAUAUCGGGAGGAACACCAGUGGCGAAGGCGGCUUCCUGGCCUGUUCUUGACGCUGAGGCGCGAAAGCUAGGGGAGCAAACGGG
rnacentral:rRNA from 1 species